CGAGGCCACCAUCCCUCCCCAUCACCCAUCAAGAUCUUCCUUCCGUUCCCACGAUCUCUCUCUCUCUCUCUCUCGCUUCUCUCUUCUCUCUUCCUUCCAUGGAACUCCACCCUUACCUCCGAGUUAAACCCCCCCAGGAGACCUCAGAACGGUUCCCCCAGUGGACUCAUGACGAGACCAUGGUGUUCCUCGCCAUCCGCGCCCAGCUCGACAAGAGCUUCGUCGAGACCAAGCGUAACAAGCCCUUGUGGCAAGCCAUCUCUUCCUUGCUGCAGCAGAGAGGCUUCUUCCGGACCCCCGACCAGUGCAAGUCCAAGUGGAAGAACCUCGUCACGCGGUUCAAGGGAAGUGAGUCUGUGGAGGGAGAGAUCAAUCGGCAGUUCCCUUUCUACGAAGAAAUGAGGAAGAUAUUCUCCGAUAGGAUGGAGAGGCUGCUCGUCCUCGAGAAGGCGAGGGGGAAACAGGUGCAAGUCCAAGCGAAAGAGUGGGAGGAGGAAGAGGGGGAAGGGAAGGUGGCGGGGAGCAAGAAGAGGCGGAAGGUGGAGAGAAAGAACCGGCCCGACGAAGAGGUGGAAGGUGCCGUGAGGGACUUUAUGCGGCGGCAGCUGGAGAUGGAGGCUCGAUGGGCGGAGGCGGUUGAGGCGAGGGAUGCAGAGCGGAGGGCCAAGGAGGAGCAGUGGAGGAGGCUGAUGCACGGCUUGCAGGAGGAGAGGACGGACCUGGAGAGGCGGUGGAGGGAGCGGGAGGAGGAGCGGCGCGUCCGGGAGGAGACCCGAGCCGAGAGGCGGCACGCCCUCCUUAUCGCCCUUCUCAACAAGCUCGUUCACAAGGAUUGCUAGUUUGCAGCAACAGCAAUCACAGCUCUAAGCUUCGCUCUAUGGAAGAAGUGAGAGAGAGAGAGAGAGAGAAAGAAAGUUGAUGCAGAUACCAAUGCAGUGGAAUCGAAAACUGGAGUGGCAUUGACUGCUGCAACAAAUAAAUUGAAAUAAAGAUGAUAUGAUUUAGUAGCCACAACAACAAAUCUAUUCCAGACUUUUAUCUGGAGUAUAUUGUCUACUGCUUCAAACCUUGUAGUCUUAAUCUGACUCCCACUGUAAAUGAUGAGAGAUAUGGAGGAGAUUCUUAUCUGAUGGAUUCAAGGGCCACAGCUUUCUACAGCAGCAGCAGCAGCAGCAGCAGCAGUGAAUGAUGGACUUUUGAAUUCAGCAGCAGACAUGAGGAUGUUUUGUUGACCAUUUCAUCUGAAUAUUAUUAAUUAGCAGUGGCAUUUUGCAGGAGGGAGAAUGCAUGUUGGGUUUGAUGGCUGUAGUGUCUUCAUUCUGACAACAAUCUUUAAGGGCACAACUCACUGUGUCCAAUUUUCUGUGCAGCAUAUAGGACUUGUGUGUCAUGCUUCCAAGUCUGUAGCUGUAUGUGUUUGAACCUUUUCGAUUGAAUUGGGCUUAGUAAUAAUAAUUAAGACCAGCUUGAUGGAUCUCUU